ACAGGAAGUGAUGCAAUAUCGCAGCAAUUACUUGAUGUUUUACCUUCAAAUCUCCUUGGGAACAAAAUGCUGAUGGGCUCAAUGGCUUCAGUGCUAUGAGAUCCCAUUCCAGGGUCCCUGCUCUCGAAUCUUAUUGGAGGAUGUAGUAGGUGGAGUCGUGGCUCCUCCUGCUCGUGUCUGGGAGGCGGACUCCACAGAGAGAUGACAGAGCAGCAGAUUGGAACCUAAACUAUUUUUCCUUUUCACGGUUUUGCUGAAGCCUCUAAACGUUGCAGCUCUUUCAGCGUGUCCUGGACUUUUCCAUCAGAUUUUCCCAUCGGACUUCAUGCGCGCCUCAAAUACAAUAAAGCCUUGACCCUUUUAAAAAGCAUGUGCCCCUGAUUUAUUAAAGAGUUUCUAUUAAAAAGUGAAAGGGCGGAUGAGUCUAGGAAUCUGUCUCUUUCUUUAUUUGUUGUCAUAAGCUUAUACUGAUAUAUCAUUCUACUAUAAUGCUAAUGCCCAUUUAAUGUAGUGCUCAUCCAUUUGAAACCAUUUUUACUCUAAUCUGGUUCGGGUUUUUUCUAGGUCUACGAACCAAGUCUAUAUGUUCAGGCAAAGGAGUUUACAUUUUAUUUAAAUUCAA